ACUGGCAGGCUAGAGUCUUGUAGAGGGGGGUAGAAUUCCAGGUGUAGCGGUGAAAUGCGUAGAGAUCUGGAGGAAUACCGGUGGCGAAGGCGGCCCCCUGGACAAAGACUGACGCUCAGGUGCGAAAGCGUGGGGAGCAAACAGGAUUAGAUACCCUGGUAGUCCACGCCGUAAACGAUGUCGAUUUGGAGGUUGUGCCCUUGAGGCGUGGCUUCCGGAGCUAACGCGUUAAAUCGACCGCCUGGGGAGUACGGCCGCAAGGUUAAAACUCAAAUGAAUUGACGGGGGCCCGCACAAGCGGUGGAGCAUGUGGUUUAAUUCGAUGCAACGCGAAGAACCUUACCUGGUCUUGACAUCCACAGAACUUUCCAGAGAUGGAUUGGUGCCUUCGGGAACUGUGAGACAGGUGCUGCAUGGCUGUCGUCAGCUCGUGUUGUGAAAUGUUGGGUUAAGUCCCGCAACGAGCGCAACCCUUAUCCUUUGUUGCCAGCGGUUCGGCCGGGAACUC
rnacentral:rRNA from 1 species